rnacentral:rRNA from 1 species
UACGAGUGCCCCGAGCGUUAUCCGGAAUCAUUGGGCGUAAAGGGUGUGUAGGUGGUUCUGUUAGUCUUCAGUUAAAUUCUUCGGCUUAACCGGGGGCAUGCUGAGGAAACGGCAGAACUUGAGGAUGCGAGAGGUGUGUGGAACUCUAUGUGUAGGGGUGAAAUCCGUAGAUAUUGGGAGGAAUACCAAUGGCGUAGGCACUUUCUGGCUCGUAACUGACGCUGAGACUCGAAAGCAUGGGUAGCAAACAGG